CUUGGUCAUUUAGAGGAAGUAAAAGUCGUAACAAGGUUUCCGUAGGUGAACCUGCGGAAGGAUCAUUCAUAAUAAGUGUUUUAUGGCACUUUUUAAAUCCAUAUCCACCUUGUGUGCAAUGUCAGUCGAUCUUCUUCAUGGAGAUCGACCAAACAUCAACCUUUAUUUUUUAACUCUUUGUCUGAAAAAUAUUAUGAAUAAACAAUUCAAAAUACAACUUUCAACAACGGAUCUCUUGGCUCUCGCAUCGAUGAAGAACGCAGCGAAAUGCGAUACGUAAUGUGAAUUGCAGAAUUCAGUGAAUCAUCGAAUCUUUGAACGCAUAUUGCGCUCUUUGGUAUUCCGAAGAGCAUGCUUGUUUGAGUAUCAGUAAACACCUCAAAGCUUUUGGAUUUUUUAAUCGAAAAGCUUUGGACUUGAGCAAUCCCAACACCAAUCUUUUUGAGAUCGGUGGCGGGUUGCUUGAAAUGCAGGUGCAGCUGGACAUUCUCCUGAGCUAAAAGCAUAUUCAUUUAGUCCCGUCAAACGGAUUAUUACUUUUGCUGCAGCUAACAUAAAGGGAGUUUGACCGUAUUGGCUGACUGAUGCAGGAUUUCACAAGGGUCGGCAACGAUUCUUGUUAAACUCGAUCUCAAAUCAAGUAAGACUACCCGCUGAACUUAAGCAUAUCAAUAAGCGGAGGAAAAGAAACUAACAAGGAUUCCCCUAGUAACGGCGAGUGAAGCGGGAUGAGCUCAAAUUUAAAAUCUGGCUGGUUUACUAGUCCGAAUUGUAGUUUAUAGAAGCGUUUUCGGUGGCAGCCUGGGUAUAAAUCCUUUGGAAUAGGGUAUCAUAGAGGGUGAGAAUCCCGUCUUUGACUCAGUGCAUGCUACUAUGUGAUACGUUUUCAAAGAGUCGAGUUGUUUGGGAAU
rnacentral:sRNA from 1 species